ACGGGUGAGUAAUGCCUAGGAAUCUGCCUGGUAGUGGGGGAUAACGCUCGGAAACGGACGCUAAUACCGCAUACGUCCUACGGGAGAAAGCAGGGGACCUUCGGGCCUUGCGCUAUCAGAUGAGCCUAGGUCGGAUUAGCUAGUUGGUGAGGUAAUGGCUCACCAAGGCGACGAUCCGUAACUGGUCUGAGAGGAUGAUCAGUCACACUGGAACUGAGACACGGUCCAGACUCCUACGGGAGGCAGCAGUGGGGAAUAUUGGACAAUGGGCGAAAGCCUGAUCCAGCCAUGCCGCGUGUGUGAAGAAGGUCUUCGGAUUGUAAAGCACUUUAAGUUGGGAGGAAGGGCAGUUACCUAAUACGUGAUUGUUUUGACGUUACCGACAGAAUAAGCACCGGCUAACUCUGUGCCAGCAGCCGCGGUAAUACAGAGGGUGCAAGCGUUAAUCGGAAUUACUGGGCGUAAAGCGCGCGUAGGUGGUUUGUUAAGUUGGAUGUGAAAUCCCCGGGCUCAACCUGGGAACUGCAUCCAAAACUGGCAAGCUAGAGUAUGGUAGAGGGUGGUGGAAUUUCCUGU
rnacentral:rRNA from 1 species